CAGACACCGUGCCCAGAAGGAGAUCCCAGCAUGAGGGCCAAGGCUUGCUGGACCCAGCCCCGGGAAGGGGUCCAAACUCUCGUGCCCCGGGGCAUCCUGCUCUACAGGAAGCACCCCCAGGACGCACCCCGGGAGCCUUUGCUUAGCCACCCUGGUCUCCUCGUGUCUUUCAGAGUGCCUGGUGGCCAGGGUAUCAGCGCAGCCUCCACCAUGAGAGACCCUGUGCCCGGAUGAAGAUCCCAGUGUGAGAGCCAAGGCUUCCUGGACCCAGCCCUAGGAAGGGGUCCAAGCUCUCGUGCCCCUGGGUCAUCCUGCUCUACAGGAAGCACCCCCAGACCCCGUGCCCAGAUGAAGAUCCCAGCAUGAGGGCCAAGGCUUGCUGGACCCAGCCCUGGGAAGGGGUCCAAUGUCUCGUGCCCCCAGUACAUCCCGCUCUACAGGAAGCACCCCCAGAGUGCCUGGUGGCCAGGGUGUCAGCGCAGCCUCCACCAUGGGAGGUCCAGGCAUCAGUGAACCUGCACCCUGCUCCUUCCUUCGCCUCCCCUACCCUUCUCUCCCCAGACCCUGUGCCCAGACGAAGAUGCCACCCUGAGGCCCAAGGCUUGCUGGACCCAACCCUGGGAAGGGGUCCAAUGUCUCGUGCCCCCAGGACAUCCUGCUCUACAGGAAGCACCCCCGGAUAAUGACUCCAGAGGAAGAACCCUGUUGGUCUUGCUGUCCCUGGGGCAAUCUCUAUCAGCCGGGAUUCCAACAUACAAUGCAACCAAAAUCCUAAUCACCUUGACCUCAUAGAUGCCUGUGUCCAUCUUUGAUAAUGAUAUGGAAAAACAUUCUGUGGCACGCUGUGACUCGAGCAAUUGAUAUCAUCCAAGGAUGAUGUAAUAAGUAUGCCCUAACUCCAAUUCAC